UGCGUAGGCGGAUUAAUAAGUCAGUGGUGAAAUCUUUCGGCUCAACCGAGAAACUGCCAUUGAUACUGUUAAUCUUGAGUUCGGUUGAGGUAGGCGUAAUGUGUAAUGUAGCGGUGAAAUGCUUAGAUAUUACACAGAACACCAAUUGCGUAGGCAGCUUACUAGACCGACACUGACGCUGAGGCACGAAAGCGUGGGGAGCGAACAGGAUUAGAUACCCUGGUAGUCC
rnacentral:rRNA from 1 species